rnacentral:rRNA from 1 species
GGGGGAUAUUGCACAAUGGGGGAAACCCUGAUGCAGCGACGCCGCGUGAGUGAAGAAGUACUUCGGUAUGUAAAGCUCUAUCAGCAGGGACGAAGAAUGACGGUACCUGACUAAGAAGCCCCGGCUAACUACGUGCCAGCAGCCGCGGUAAUACGUAGGGGGCAAGCGUUAUCCGGAUUUACUGGGUGUAAAGGGAGCGUAGACGGUGAUGUAAGUCAGAUGUGAAAGCCCGGGGCUCAACCCCGGGACUGCAUUUGAAACUAUGUUGCUAGAGUGCAGGAGAGGUAAGUGGAAUUCCUAGUGUAGCGGUGAAAUGCGUAGAUAUUAGGAGGAACACCAGUGGCGAAGGCGGCUUACUGGACUGUAACUGACGUUGAGGCUCGAAAGCGUGGGGAGCAAAC